UGGGUCUCACCUGAGGUGCAACUGUCCGCGCGGAAAGCCUCACCGAGGCGAUCGCCAGACGCUCAGGCCACACCCAUUGUUAAAGGACCAUUCAUGAAAGGAGCAGUUGGGGUUGUCUACACUGGAGUCCUCUCAGAGUAUUUCCAGCAUAUAGGACACACAAUAUCCCUUGUUGCUUCCAGGCAGAGCGCGUCUCCUCUUUCGCCCAGGCUUCCUCUUGGACUUUCGCUUAUGGCCAGCCCUGCGUGUCAAAGCCCUUCUUUUAAAGGGUUUCGGGGGACCUGUGCAU